rnacentral:rRNA from 1 species
GGUUAAGCGACUAAGCGUACACGGUGGAUGCCCUGGCAGUCAGAGGCGAUGAAGGACGUGCUAAUCUGCGAAAAGCGUCGGUAAGGUGAUAUGAACCGUUAUAACCGGCGAUGUCCGAAUGGGGAAACCCAGUGCAAUUCGUUGCACUAUCGUUAACUGAAUACAUAGGUUAACGAGGCGAACCGGGGAACUGAAACAUCUAAGUACCCCGAGGAAAAGAAAUCAACCGAGAUUCCCCAGUAGCGGCGAGCGAACGGGGAGCAGCCCAGAGUCUGAAUCAGCUUGUGUGUUAGUGGAACGGUCUGGAAAGUCCGACGGUACAGGGUGAUAGUCCCGUACACCAAAAUGCACAGGCUGUGAACUCGAAGAGUAGGGCGGGACACGUGGUAUCCUGUCUGAAUAUGGGGACCAUCCUCCAAGGCUAAAUACUCCUGACUGACCGAUAGUGAACCAGUACCGUGAGGGAAAGGCGAAAAGAACCCCGGCGAGGGAGUGAAAAAGAACCUGAAACCGUGUACGUACAAGCAGUGGGAGCACCUUCGGGUGUGACUGCGUACCUUUGUAUAAUGGGUCAGCGACUUAUAUUCUGUAGCAAGGUUAACCGUAUAGGGGAGCCGCAGGGAAACCGAGUCUUAACUGGGCGUUAAGUUGCAGGGUAUAGACCCGAAACCCGGUGAUCUAGCCAUGGGCAGGUUGAAGGUUGGGUAACACUAACUGGAGGACCGAACCGACUAAUGUUGAAAAAUUAGCGGAUGACUUGUGGCUGGGGUGAAAGGCCAAUCAAACCGGGAGAUAGCUGGUUCUCCCGAAAGCUAUUUAGGUAGCGCCUCGUGAAUUCAUCUUCGGGGUAGAGCACUGUUUCGGCUAGGGGUCAUCCCGACUUACCAACCCGAUGCAAACUACGAAUACCGAAGAAUGUUAUCACGGGAGACACACGGCGGGUGCUAACGUCCGUCGUGAAGAGGGAAACAACCCAGACCGCCAGCUAAGGUCCCAAAGUCAUGGUUAAGUGGGAAACGAUGUGGGAAGGCACAGACAGCCAGGAUGUUGGCUUAGAAGCAGCCAUCAUUUAAAGAAAGCGUAAUAGCUCACUGGUCGAGUCGGCCUGCGCGGAAGAUGUAACGGGGCUAAACCAUGCACCGAAGCUGCGGCAGCGACACUAUGUGUUGUUGGGUAGGGAGCGUUCUGUAAGCCUGCGAAGGUGACCUGUGAGGGUUGCUGGAGGUAUCAGAAGUGCGAAUGCUGACAUAAGUAACGAUAAAGCGGGUGAAAAGCCCGCUCGCCGGAAGACCAAGGGUUCCUGUCCAACGUUAAUCGGGGCAGGGUGAGUCGACCCCUAAGGCGAGGCCGAAAGGCGUAGUCGAUGGGAAACAGGUUAAUAUUCCUGUACUUGGUGUUACUGCGAAGGGGGACGGAGAAGGCUAUGUUAGCCGGGCGACGGUUGUCCCGGUUUAAGCAUGUAGGCUGGUUAUCCAGGCAAAUCCGGAUAAUCAAGGCUGAGGUGUGAUGACGAGGCACUACGGUGCUGAAGUAACAAAUGCCCUGCUUCCAGGAAAAGCCUCUAAGCAUCAGGUAACAUCAAAUCGUACCCCAAACCGACACAGGUGGUCAGGUAGAGAAUACCAAGGCGCUUGAGAGAACUCGGGUGAAGGAACUAGGCAAAAUGGUGCCGUAACUUCGGGAGAAGGCACGCUGGUGUGUAGGUGAAGUCCCUGCGGAUGGAGCUGAGACCAGUCGAAGAUACCAGCUGGCUGCAACUGUUUAUUAAAAACACAGCACUGUGCAAACACGAAAGUGGACGUAUACGGUGUGACGCCUGCCCGGUGCCGGAAGGUUAAUUGAUGGGGUUAUCCGUAAGGAGAAGCUCUUGAUCGAAGCCCCGGUAAACGGCGGCCGUAACUAUAACGGUCCUAAGGUAGCGAAAUUCCUUGUCGGGUAAGUUCCGACCUGCACGAAUGGCGUAAUGAUGGCCAGGCUGUCUCCACCCGAGACUCAGUGAAAUUGAACUCGCUGUGAAGAUGCAGUGUACCCGCGGCAAGACGGAAAGACCCCGUGAACCUUUACUAUAGCUUGACACUGAACAUUGAGCCUUGAUGUGUAGGAUAGGUGGGAGGCUUUGAAGCGUGGACGCCAGUCUGCGUGGAGCCAACCUUGAAAUACCACCCUUUAAUGUUUGAUGUUCUAACGUUGGCCCCUUACCGGGGUUGCGGACAGUGUCUGGUGGGUAGUUUGACUGGGGCGGUCUCCUCCCAAAGCGUAACGGAGGAGCACGAAGGUUAGCUAAUCCUGGUCGGACAUCAGGAGGUUAGUGCAAUGGCAUAAGCUAGCUUGACUGCGAGCGUGACGGCGCGAGCAGGUGCGAAAGCAGGUCAUAGUGAUCCGGUGGUUCUGAAUGGAAGGGCCAUCGCUCAACGGAUAAAAGGUACUCCGGGGAUAACAGGCUGAUACCGCCCAAGAGUUCAUAUCGACGGCGGUGUUUGGCACCUCGAUGUCGGCUCAUCACAUCCUGGGGCUGAAGUAGGUCCCAAGGGUAUGGCUGUUCGCCAUUUAAAGUGGUACGCGAGCUGGGUUUAGAACGUCGUGAGACAGUUCGGUCCCUAUCUGCCGUGGGCGCUGGAGAAUUGAGGGGGCUGCUCCUAGUACGAGAGGACCGGAGUGGACGCAUCACUGGUGUUCGGGUUGUCAUGCCAAUGGCACUGCCCGGUAGCUAAAUGCGGAAGAGAUAAGUGCUGAAAGCAUCUAAGCACGAAACUUGCCCCGAGAUGAGUUCUCCUGAGACUUUAAGUCUCCUGAAGGAACGUUGAAGACGACGACGUUGAUAGGCCGGGUGUGUAAGCGCAGCGAUGCGUUGAGCUAACCGGUACUAAUGAACCGUGAGGCUUAACCUU